rnacentral:rRNA from 1 species
CUAUCGGGCGGUAUUUAGAUUUUGCGUAUCAUCUUCUUGAAAAGCUUUGCUGUGCUUGAUUGCAUGGUGUGGGAAUCAGGACAUAUACUUUGAGGCAAUUUAGAGUGUUUCAAGCAGGUUUGUGCUGAAAUAGCCUAGCAUGGAAUAAUAACAUGGGGUCUUGGUCUUGUUUGUAGGUUUCUACGCUGAGGAAACAAUCAAUCAGGAUACUGGGGGCAUUCGUACUUAACUGUCAGAGGUGAAUUCUUGGAUUUGUUAAAGACAAACUACUGCGAAAGCAUUUGUCAAGGAUGUUUUCAUUGAUCAAGAACGAAAGUUAAGGGAUCGAAGACGAUCAGAUACCGUCCUAGUCUUAACCAUAAACAAUGCCAUCUAGAGAUUGGAGGUAGUGCCAAGGAUUACUUCUUCAGCAUCAUUUGAGAAAUCAAAGCUUUUGGGUUCCGGGGGGAGUAUGGUCGCAAGGCUGAAACUUAAAGGAAUUGACGGAAGGGCACCACCAGGAGUGGAGCCUGCGGCUUAAUUUGACUCAACACGGGAAAACUCACCAGAACCAGACAUAAACAGGAUUGACAGAUUGAUAGCUCUUUCUUGAUUUUAUGGGUGGUGGUGCAUGGCCGUUCUUAGUUGGUGGAGUGAUCUGUCUGGUUAAUUCCGUUAACGAACGAGACCUUGUCUUACUAAAUAGUUACAUGUAACUUUGGUUACAU